rnacentral:other from 1 species
UAGACCCUGCGCUGUUGGUGAUCGGUAAAGUAUUAAGCCAACUCUUUACGCAAGGGCUGCCUUGCCGCUGGAUCCGCGGAAGCCCUCCGGCUUGACAACGUCCAGCUUGGGUUCAGCCCACCUAAUGGACAUUAGGUUUAAUCGUCUUACCGACACGGCAGCGCGGGGCUUUU